UACGGAGGGGGCUAGCGUUGUUCGGAAUUACUGGGCGUAAAGCGCACGUAGGCGGAUACUUAAGUCAGGGGUGAAAUCCCGAGGCUCAACCCCGGAACUGCCUUUGAUACUGGGUAUCUCGAGUCCGGAAGAGGUGAGUGGAAUUCCGAGUGUAGAGGUGAAAUUCGUAGAUAUUCGGAGGAACACCAGUGGCGAAGGCGGCUCACUGGUCCGGUACUGACGCUGAGGUGCGAAAGCGUGGGGAGCAAACAGG
rnacentral:rRNA from 1 species